GGCAAAAUCUCUGAGCCAGGGCUCUAGAGUUGGGGGUGAGGACUAUGCUGAGCUUCUGAGUAACAUUGUUAUUUUUUAGGAGCUGAGCCCUAGGGUUGAGAUGGGGGCAGUAGGCUGAGAUCUCUGUCUCUCCUGCCAUGGAAGCACUGCUUCCUGAGCCAGGAGAGGGCUGUUGGGCCCCCAGUAUUCGCAACACAUUCCUACCCAAGGUAGAGCCUCCAUUCCAUGAGUGGAAGCUGGGUGCAAGAAAGGAACUGUACUUCUCUGUCCACACUUAACCUGGAUUAGCUUCCUCAGCAACAGACAGCUGGAAGAAGCUGAGAAAUGCUGAAGUCCUGCUCCUAUGGGAAGAAAGCCCUCUGGCUGGGAACUGAGAAAGGAUGGAGUCUGGUGUCCUUGGUUGCAACAGUCUAGAGUGGAACCACCCUCUCUGCUCUGGAAGAGGGGAGGGAAGGAGUGGUUUUGGUGCAAGUACCGUAGACUCUAGCCUUUUUUACUUAAUUUUCAGUUUCCUUGAAUAGAUGUUUCUUCAUUCAUUAUUUGCUCUAAGGACCAUUUUCAGAAGAUUUAGCUGUUUUUAAAAUAAUUUUCACCAGUUUUACUGGGAAUCAGGUCAGUGUGUUGCAGGAUUUUUUAUUUACCUCAAUACCUGGAUUCGUUGUCUCACCACUUUGAAGAAUGAAGAGGAGGACACAAAGUGACCAGCAGGCAAAAGGUUAUUAGAGUAUAAGAUUAAAAGUAAAAGUAGUAUGAAAGCUCUCUUUACAGAAAGGGACCAUUUGAAAGUGAAUGCCAGCCGACUAUUGGCAAGGGUCCUUGUUUUAUAAGGUUUUGGUUAGCCUUCCCCUUCCCCCUGUUCCCUCUCAGGUCCCACCCUUAUUGGCUUGAUAGUUCUAGGUGCUGGGUGGUCCAUUUCUGAUUGUCUCUAUUCUAUUGUAUGAGGGGUGGCUAUUGGUCAUAGUUAGGUCUUUUGUCAAAUUCCUAAGGGAAACCUGGAGGGGGGAGUAGAUGGUGUCUGUUACAUUCUUAAGUGGAACCUUACUGGUGAGGGGGUUUGCUGUGAUCAGACACUCCUAGAAUUGUUCCAAAUAUGCAUUUUUCCCCACCCAGGGACUUCAGGUCCUAAUCUUUCCCUCUUGCCUACUAAUCCUAUCUUUUCCUAUCAUAAGUGGAACUCCUUAUAAUGUCAUCCUUACAGUUCAGUUCUUCUAAUAUCUCCUCUUUACCUUAGUUUUGUUUUAACAUGGUAUUGAUUGUGAUUUUCCUUUCUAGCAAAUUAAUUGUAUAGAAGUUGAAAUGCUAGUUUUGAAUACAUUUGCUACACUAAGUAUAUGCUACUAGAAUUGUAUACAUAAAUGUAAAUUAUAUUUAAAAUAUAGGCACAUGAGAAUUUACCUGCCUAGAAAUUAUGAAGAAUCUUUUUGAGUUUAAUGAAGGUCUUGCAUUAAUAGAUAGCAAAGCAGGUAAAGAAUUUAGGUUCUGUGUAGCUUACUAGAUUUCAAUAUAUUUCUGUAAUCCCAUUUCUUUUCCAGAUGUCUUUUUUUUUUUUUUUUUUUUAGUUUUUAAACUAUUACCAGGUUAUUGUUUAUUCACACACAUAACAGAUAUUUAAUGAGCACAUAAUGCGUGUGAGGCAUGGAUCUAGGUGCUGGGACUGUAGUGGUGAACAACCAGACCAAAAUUUGGCUCUUAUAGAGGUUAUAUUUUAGUGGAGAAGACAGAUAAACAUAUACAUAAUUUUAGGUAGUAGUAUAUGCUGUAAAUAAACACAAAGCAGUAUAUUGACAUAGAGAGUGAUGGGCAGUGAGGAUAGGAGACUAUUUUGGACGUAUUAGUUAAAAAAGACUUCUUGGGGCACCUGGGUGGCAUAGUCGGUUAAGUGUCAGACUUCCGUUUAGGUCAUUAUCUCAUAGUUCAUUGAGUUCGAGCUCCUCUUUGGGCUCUUUGCUGUCAGCGUGGAGCCUGCUUUGGAUCCUGCUUUGGAUCCUCUGUCCUCCACUCUCUCUGCCCCUCCCCGGUUCACACUUGCACGUGUACAUGUUCUUUCUCUCUCUCUCAAAAAUAAACAUUAAAAAUACAUAUAUAUAAAAAUAUUUUUAAAAAAAAGACUUGUCUGAGGAGGUAUUGAGUUUAGAAUUGAAUGAAGUAUGAGAACAAUGUGAAUUGCCAUGUGAAUAAUCUGGAAAGGGAGUUACAGGCAAAGGGAACAGCAAGUUCAAAAGCCCUGAGGCAGAGUAAGUUUGGUGUGUUCAAGGAAAAGCAGGGAGGCCACUGGAGCUAUAGCACAACAUAGUGUAGCAUGAUGAGGGGUUUAGUGGAGAGAGACGAGGUUUAAGAGGUUGGUUGGCCCUGGAUUGUGUAUGAUUUUGCAAAGAGAUGGAUUUUAUUCCAAACACGAUAGGAAGCCUUGGGAAAAUUUUGAGCAGGGUUAUUGCAUACUCUGGUACAUGAUCUGUCAAUAAGGUAACUACAUAGUGGAAUUAUAUUUAGUGGUAGAUUAUAUUUAAAACAUAGCCAUAGGAGAAUUUCAAUGCCUAGAAAUUGUAAGGAGACUGUCUUCAGUUUUAUCAGUAUUCUUGUGUUAAUUAGUAUGCAUGCAGGAAAGAACUUAGGUUCUAUACAGUUUAUUGAUCUUGAAUAUAUUUUUAGAAUCCCAUCCCUAUUCUAUUUUUUUAAAUUAAAAAAAUGUUUUAAUGUUUACUUAUUUUUGAGAGAUAGAGAGAUACAUAGUGCGAAUGGGGAAGGGCAGAGAUAGAGGGAGACACAGAAUCUAAAACAGGCUCCAGGCUCUGAGCUGUCAGCACAGAGCCAGAUGCAGGGCUCAAACCCACAAACUGUGAGAUGAUGACCCAAGCUGACAUUGGAUGCUUAACCAACUGAGCUACCUAGGCACCCCUAAUUUUUUGUUUUUUAAGUAGGCUCCACACCCAUGUGGAGCCCUAUGCGGGGCUCAAACUCACGACCCCAAGAUUGAGACCUGAGUUGAAAUCAAGAAUCAGAUACUUAACCAACUGAGCCACCCAGGCACCCCUCCCAUUUCUGUUCUAAAUAAUCAUUUUUCAAUUUUUAGAACAUGUGUUUUUUGCUUUUUUAUAAAGUCACUCUGGCUGUGAAGAAGAGAUCAGAAAGUUAUAAGUUAGAAGGCUAAUGCCGUGGUCCACUGAUCAUUGAUGGUGACUGGGACCUAGGGCAUUAGGGUGCUAUAAUGAAAGUGGUGAUAAAUGGUCAUAUUUAGGAUAUAGGUUUGUUUUUUUUUUUUUUUUUGAGAGAAAGUGCAAGCAGGGGAGAGGCAGAGAGAGAGGGAGAGAGAAAGAGAAUCUUAAGCAGGCUCCAUGCCCAGCACAGAGCCCAAAGAGGCUCUGUCUCAUGUCCCAUGUCCAUGAGAUCAUGACCUGACCCAAAAUCAAGAGACAGACACACAAAUCAAGAGUUGGAUAUACUCAACUGACUGAGCCAUCCAGGUGCCCAUAGGACAUAUUUUAAAAAUGGACUUAACAAAACUUCGUUUUGGAUUUGUUGAUGUUGGGAUGUCAAGGAAAAAGAAGGGUCAAGGUUGAUUACUAAAUUUAGUCCUGAAUGAAUGAUCAUACCAAUAACAUAAUGGGGAAGAAGGAUGAAGAGUGGAUUUGGUAUUCUGUUUUCUAGAAGUUAAGUUUGAGAUGCCUCUUGGAUUUCAGAUGGAAAUAACAAGAAGGUGAUAUGAUAUAGUAAUAUAUACCUUAAAGGAGAAAUCAGGAUUGGAGAUAAUAUAAAUUUAAGAAUCAUUUGAUUAGGAGUGGGGUUGUAGCUGGCUGGGGCUCAGAGUUAAAAGAGCACCUGGCUCUAGGGGUCCCAAACAGGUAAGAUUCAGUUACUGGCUGUUGAGAAAAAUCCAAAGGCAGAGAGUGGUGGUGAAACAAGAAAGGAAUUUAUUUCAAUAAGGCCAACACCCAGAAGACAAUGGACUAAAAAAAAAAAAAAAAAAAAAAAAUCAUUUGCUCCCAAUAUUUAAAAAGAAAUGGCAGUUUUAAAAAGUGGAAUGAGGAGGGAGGGGCCAACAUCACAAAGUAGUAGGAGGAUCCGAACUUCCCUCUUCUCCCAGACAAAGAAGUGUUGAAGCCAAAGGACUUUGAAUCCCAAGAGUCUGGGAGGAAAAGAAACAGUCUUUUUCCCAGGAAUCCCCUGGAACAACCUGACUGGCCAUAGAUGCGUGAUUGCGAACUGGGAGAGAUAAAAUGAAUGGAGGGCAGGGAUCUGCUUCUGCAGAGAGACAAAAGGAAGAGAAAGAGUGGCUAGGGAAGUAUAGGACUGUAUCUGGACAAGAGAAAAAUCUUAGACCAGGACGGAGAAAGAUCAAAUCUCUAACUGUGGGGCUUGCUCCAGACUGGGGCUGGCUGGCCGGAAUGGCGUACCUGAGGAGAGGGGGAGCCAGCCCCGGGCUCAGUGGCUAGGUCAGGGAUGCAGUCCACAGUAGGAGAAAGCAAUCCCCUCCCUGGAGUGCUGUGGGACAGGACAAAGCCUGCUUGUUCCCGCCAGCCAGGGACCACAUAUCAGGUGGCGCAGAGAGGCGCUUCCCCUGUACCGGAACCCGGGGAGCAAGAAUUUGAAUCCCAGCCAAGUGCCAGGCAUAGGAGUUGGGGAAGCGAGACAAACUGCUUCAUUUACACCCGUGGCACAGUGAGGAUGGCUGAAACAGAGUGGUUUGGGACACCGGGUCUGUGGAGGAGAGACUGGGGGGGGGUCCCCAUUUUUCUCUUUAAACCACCAAGGUGAGGCCUCAGGGAUCAGACAGCAGGACCCACAGUGGAGGCGAGACCAGCCUACACCAAACCACGCCCCUCCGUGCCGGGUAACUGCAUAUCUACUGGGGCAGGGUAGACGCUGAGGAACCAGACAGCCCCUCCUCCAGACCUGCCCUGCUGCAUUGCCUGGUUUAAUGUAUGUAGAUACAUUGUUCCUUCCUUUUCUCUUUGUUAUCUCUUCCCUCUAGUCUGGUUACUCUGGUUGUUGGUUUGUUUCAGCAGACAUAUUUAACCCAUUCUCUUGAUACCUGUUCCACACCUCCUUCUUUAUUCUCCCUUCUCUGUCUUGAAUUAAGCUGUAUUGUUUCUCUCUGAACAAAUUUACCUUCUUUCAUUUUUCCCUGCCUUCUUCUUAAUUUUCCUUUCUCUCUCUCUGGAUUAAGCCAUAUAGUUUAUCUGUCUGGGUAACUUUCUUUUCUUUUUCUUUUUCCCCACCUCCUUCUUUAUUUUCCUUUCUCUCUCUCUGGAUUAAGCCAUAUAGUUUCUCUGGUGAAUUUUUAUUCUUUCUUCCCUCCCCCCGCCUCCCAUCAUUUCUUUGUAUGGGAUAAGGCCUCUUUCAUCAGCACUGCCUCCACCCUGUGGUUUACUUGUAGCUGGUGUUUCUGUUUUUUUGUUUGUCUUUUUUUGUUUGUGUGUUUGUGUGUUUUUGUUUUCUGUUUGUCUGUUUGUUUUCCUUUCCAGGGCUACUUCAACAAAUCAAAGCACACCUGGUGGAAGGUCCAAAGCAUCACCACAAGUAGGGAGACAAAGUAACCCAAGUCACAACAACAGACAGCAAGUAAUACUCUCCCAAAAACAUCUCCUGAAGGGCCACACCCUGGACAGUGUAUGACCCCUCUUUAAUAUAGUAGUGCUUGCAGGAGCAGGGCACAUAACAGCUUUUAAAAUACAUAAGGGACAGAAAACUAGCCAAAAUGGUGAAACGGAAGAAUUCUCCUCAAAAGAAAUUCCAGGAAGAAAUGACAGCUAAAGAAUUGAUCAAAACAGAUAUAAACAAUAUAACUGAACAAGAAUUGAGAAUAAUAGUCAUAAGAUUAAUCUCUGGGCUUGAAAAAGCAUAUAGGACAGCAGAGAAUCUAUUGCUGCAGAGAUCAAGGAACUAAAAAAUAGUAAUGAUAAAUUUAAAAAUGCUAUAAAUGAGGUGCAAAUUGAAAUAGAGGCAGUCACAAUGAGGAGAGAAGAAGCAGAGGGGAGAAUAGGUGAAUUAGAAGAUAAAAUUAUGGAAAAAGAGGAAGCUGAGAAAAAGAGAUAAAAAAAAUUCUAGAUCACAAGGGGAGAAUUAGAGAACUAAGUGAUUCAAUGAAACGGAACAAUAUCCGUAUCAUAGGAGUUCCAGAAGAAGAACAAGAGAGAAAGGGGCCAAAGGUAUACUUGAAUAAAUCAUAGCUGAGAACUUCCCCAGUCUGGGGAAGGAAACAAACACUGAAAUCCAGGAGGCACAAAGAACUCCCUUCAGACGUAACUUGAAUCGAUCUUAUGCACAGCAUGUCAUAGUGAAACUGGCAAAAUACAAAGAUAAAGAGAGAAUUCUGAAUGCAGCUAGGGAUAAACCAGCCUUAACAUACAAGGGUAGACACAUAAGGGUAGUAGCAGACCUAUCUACCGAAACUUGGCAGGCCCAAAAGGAGUGGCAAGAAAUUUUCAAUGUGAUGAACAGGAAAAAUAUGCAGCCAAGAAUCCUUUAUCCAGCAAGCCUGUCAUUCAGAAUAGAAGGAGAGAUAAAGGUUUUCCCAUACAAACAAAACUGAAGGAAUUCAUCAGUAAUAAACCAGCCCUACAAGAGAUCCUACGGGGGACUCUGUGAGUGAAAUGUUGCAUGGAUCACAAAGGACAAGAGACAUCACUACAAGUAUGAAACCUAUAGAUAACACAAUGACUUUAAACCCAUGUCUUUCAAUAAUAAUAAUGAGUGUAAAUGGACUAAAUGCUACAGUCGAAAGACACAGGGUAUCAGAAUGGAUUUAAAAAAAAAAGACCCAUCUAUUUGCUAUCUCCACGAGACCCAUUUUAGACCUGAGGACACCUUCAGAUUGAAAGUGAGGGGAUGGAGAACCAUCUAUCAUGCUACUGGAAGUCAAAACAAAGCUGGCAUAGCCAUACUUAUUUCAGACAAACUAGACUUUAAGUUAAAGGUUGUAACAAGAGAUGAAGAAGGGCAUUAUAUAGUAAUCACAGGGCCUAUCCAUCAGGAAGAGCUAACAAUUAUAAAUGUCUAUGCACCAAAUUCAGAAGCACCCAAAUAUAUAAAACAAUCACAAACAUAAGCAAUCUUAUUGGUAAGAAUGUGGUAAUUGCAGGGGACUUUAAUACUCCACUUACAGCAAUGGACAGAUCAUCUAGACAGAAAGUCAAUAAAGAAACAAUGGCCCUGAAUGAUAUACUGGACUAGAUGGUCUUGAUAGAUAUAUUUAGAACUUCUCAUCAUAAAGCAGAAUAUACAUUCCUCUCGAGUGCACAUGGAACAUUCUCCAAGAUAGAUCACAUACUGGGUCACAAAACAGUCCUCAAUAAAUAUAAAAGAAUUGAGACCAUACCAUGCACACGUUGAGAUCACAGUGCUAUGAAACUUAAAAUCAACCAUAAGAAAAAGUUUGGAAAGCCUCCAAAUGCAUGGAGGUUAAAGAACAUCCUACUAAAGAACAAAUGGGUCAACCAGGCAGUUAAAGAAGAAAUUUAAAAAAUAUAUGGAAACAAAUUAAAAUGAAAACACAACAAUCCAAAGCCUUUGGGAUGCAGCAAAGGCAGUCCUAAGAGGAAAAUACAUUGCAAUCCAGGCCUAUCUCAAGAAACAAGAAAAAUCCAAAAUACAAAAAUCUAAUAGCACACCUAAAGGAACUAGAAGCAGAACAGCAAAAACACCCCAAACCCAGCAGAAGAAGAGAAAUAAUAAAGAUCAGGGCAGAAAUAAACAAUAUAGAAUCAAAAAAACAAACAAACAACAGAUCAAUGAAACUAAGAGUUGGUUUUUUGAAAAAAUAAACAAAAUUGAUAAACCUCUAGCCAGGCUUCUCGAAAAGAAAAGAGAGAGGACAUAAGUAGAUAAAAUCACGAAUGAAAAUGGUGUUAUUACAACCAAUCUCUCAGAAAUACAAGCAAUUUAUCAGAGAAUACUAUGAAAAAUUAUAUGCCAACAAACUGGACAACUGGAAGAAAUGGACAAAUUCCUAAACACCCACACACCACCAAAACUCAAACUGGAAGAAAUAGAAAAUUUGAACAGACCUAUAACUAGUAAAGAAAUUGAAUCAGUUAUCAUAAAUCUCCCAACAAAUAAGAGCCCUGGACCAGAUGGCUUUCCUCAGGAAUUCUACUAGACAUUUAAAGCAGAGUUAAUACCUAUCCUUCUCAAGCUGUUCCAAAAAAUAGAAAUGGAAGGAAAACUUCUGGACUCAUUCUAUGAAGCCAGCAUUACUUUGAUUCCCAAGCCAGACAGAGACCCCACAAAAAAGGAGAACUACAGGCCAAUAUCCCUGAUGAACAUGGAUGCAAAAAUUCUCAACAAGGUAUCAGCAAAUCUAAUUCAACAACAUAUAAAAAGAGUUAUUCACCAUGAUCAAGUGGGAUUCAUUCCUGGGCUGCAGGGCUGGAUCAGUAUUCACAAAUCAAUCAAUGUGAUACAUCACCUUAAGAAAGGGUAAGAACCAUGUGAUCCUGUCAAUAGAUGCAGAAAAAGCAUUUGACAAAAUACAGCAUACUUUCUUAAUAAAAACCCUCAUGAAAUUCGGGAUAGAAGGAACAUACUUAAACAUCAUAAAAGCCAUAUAUGAAAAGCCCACAGCUAAUAUCAUCCUCAAUGGAGAAAAACUGAGAGCUUUUCCCCUGAUCAGGAACUCAACAGGGAUGUCCACUCUCAUCGCUGUUGUUUUUUUUUUUGUUGGAAGUCCUAGCAUAGCAGUCAGACAACAAAAUGAAAUAAAAGGCAUCAAAAUUGGCAAAGAAGAAGUCAAACUUUCACGUUUUGCAGAUGACAUGAUACUCUACAUGGAAAACCUGAAAGACUCCACCAAAAAACUUCUAGAACUGAUACAUUAAUUCAGCAAAUUCGCAGGGUACAAAAUCAGUGUACAGAAAUCAGUUGUGUUUUUAUACACCAAUAAUGAAGCAACAGAAAGAGAAAUCAAGAAAUCCAUCCCAUUUACAAUUGCACCAAGAACCAUAAAAUACCUAGGAAUAAACCUAACCAAAGAUGUAAAACAUCUUUGAAACUGCUGAAAACUAUAGAAAGCUUAUGAAGGAAGUUGAAGAAGACACAAAGAAAUGGAAAAGCAUUCCAUAUGCUUGGGAAUGCAAGCUGGUGCAGCCACUCUGGAAAACAGUAUGGAGGUUCUUCAAAAAACUAAAAAUAGAACUACCCUACAACCCAGCAAUUGCACUACUAGGCAUUUAUCCAAGAGAUACAGUGUGCUGUUUCAAAGGGACACAUGCACCGCCAUGUUUAUAGCAGCACUACUAACAAUAGCCAAAUUAUGGAAAGAGCCCAGAUAUCCAUCGAUGGAUGAAUGGAUAAAGAAGAAGUGGUAUAUACAUACAAUGGAGUAUUACUCAGCAAUCAAAAAGAAUGAAAUCUUGCCAGUUGCAACUGCGUGGAUGGAGCUGGAGGGUAUUACGCUAAGUGAAAUCAGUCAGUCAGAGAAAGACAAAAAUCAUAUGAUUUUACUCAUAUGAGGACUUUAAGAGACAAACAGAUGAACAUAAGAGAAGGGAAACAAAAAUAGUAUAAAAACAGGGAGGGGAACAAAACAGAAGAGAUUCAUAAGUAUGGAGAACAAACUGAGGGUUAUGGGAGGGGUUGUGGGAGGGAGGAUGGAGUAAAUGAGCAAGGGGCACUAAGGAAUCUACUCCUGAAAUCAUUGUUGCACUACAUGCUAAUUUGUAUGUAAAAUUUUAAAAAUAAAAAAUUAAAUAAAAAAAAAUAUCCCAUAUGCUCAUGGAUUGGAAGAAUAAAUAUUGUUAAAACGGCAAUACUACCCAAAGCAAUCUAUACAUUCAGUGUAAUCCCAAUCAAAAUUGCACCCACAUUAUGCUCAAAGCUAGAACAAAGAAUCCUAAAAUUUGUUUGGAACCACAAAAGACCCUGAAUAGCCAAAGUAAUACUGAAGAAGAAAACCAAAGCGGGAGGCAUCACAAUGCCAGACCUUAGCCUCUAAUACAAAGUUGUAAUCAUCAAGACAAUAUGGUAUUGGCACAAAAACAGACACAUAGACCAGUGGAAUAGAAUAGAGAACGCAGAAUUGGACCCACAAGUAUAUGGCCAACUAAUCUUUGGCAAAUCAGGAAAGAGUAUCCAUUGGAGAAAAGACAGUCUCUUUACAAAUGGUGCUAGGAGAACUGGACAGGAACAUGUAGAAGAAUGAAACUAGACCACUUUCUUACACUGUAUACAAAAAUAAACUCAAAAUAGAUGAAAAACCUAGAUCUGAGACAGAAAACCAUCAAAACCCUAGAAGAGAAAGCAGGCAACAACUUCUUUGACCUCAGCUGCAGCAAUUUCUUACUUGACACAUCUCCAAAGGCAAGGGAACUAAAAGCAAAAAUGAACUAUUGGGACCUCAUCAAGAUAAAAAGCUCCUGUACUGCAAAGGAAACAGUCAACGAAACUAAAAGGCAACUGAUGGAUUGGGGAAAGAUAUUUGCAAAUGAAAAUCGGAUAAAGGGUUAGUAUCCAAAAUCUCUAAAGAACUCACCAAACUCCACACCCAAAAAACAAAUAAUCCAGUGAAGAAAUGGGCAGAAGACAUGAAUAGACACCUCUCUAAAGAAGACAUCCAGAUGGCCAACAGACACAUGAAAGGAUGCUCAACUUCACUCAUCAGGGAAAUGCAAAUCAAAGGCACACUGAGAUACCACCUCACACUGGUCAGAAUGGCUAAAAUGAACAAAUCAGGAAACUGUAGAUGCUGGCAAGGAUGUGGAGAAAUGGGAACCCUCUUGCACUGUUGGUGGGAAUGCAAACUGGUGCAGCUGCUCUGGAAAACAGUGUGGAGGUUCCUCAAAAAAUUCAAAGUAGAACUCCAUGACCCAGCAAUAGCACUGCUAGGAAUUUACCUAAGGGGUACAGGAGUGCUGAUGCAUAGGGGCACAUGUACCCCAAUGUUUAUAGCAGCGCUUUCAACAAUAGCCAAAUUAUGCAAAGAACCUAAAUGUUCAUCAACUGAUGAAUGGAUGAAGAAGAUGUGGUUUAUAUGUACAAUGGAAUACUACUUGACAACGUAAGAGAAUAAAAUCAUGCGAUUUGCAGCAAUGUGGAUGCAACUGGAGGGUAUUGUGCUAAAUGAAAUAAGUCAGAGAAAGAUAUCUUACGAUUUUACUCAUACGUGGAUCUUGAGAAACUUAACACAAGACCACGGAUGAAGGGAAGGAGAAAAAAUAGAGAGGGAAGGAGGCAAACCAUGAGAGACUCUUAAAAACUGAGAACAGGGGCGCCUGGGUGGCGCAGUCGGUUAAGCGUCCGACUUCAGCCAGGUCACGAUCUCACGGUCUGUGAGUUCGAGCCCCGCGUCAGGCUCUGGGCUGAUGGCUCGGAGCCUGGAGCCUGUUUCCGAUUCUGUGUCUCCCUCUCUCUCUGCCCCU